UGCCUUUCUCAGUGUCCCCCAGCAGUCAGACACAGCGGCCUUCCAGAGGGCCGAAAGGCCCGUAGUCGAGCCAGCUCUCGGAUCAACUGGGGGACUAUUGUCGUGGGGGCGUUGCUGAGCUGCCGUGUGUGAAAUAUGGUUAAAGCCGGGGACCGCGCAGCUGGGCCACUUCUCCAGAGCCCAGGAGAGAUGGGCUGGGUACUGAAAGAUUUGCUACGUGUGUCCAUUCUAUGUUGUCUUCUUAUUACACAAAAUAAUAAUAAUAAUGGUAAUUAUUAUUAUUAUUAUUAUUAUUAUUAGAGGAGGAGGGUGGACGGAAACUUUGGAGGGGAUGGGUCUGUUUAUGGCACAGGUUUUGGUAAUGGUUCACAGAUGUCUACCUAUUUCCACAGUCUUUAAAUCAUAUACAUUAAAUAUGUACAGCUCUUUUGGGUCAUUCUUUCCUUCAUCCCUCAAGAAAGUGGUUUCAGAAAAUAAUAUUAAAGGCCCUCCCGUGACUACAGAUGAGCGCUCCCUCUCAAAUGUCUUUAGCUUUAGGACUGAAGGGAAGACUGCUUCUCCAUGGUUAAAGGGGUAACGGCGUUGACUGCGUGUGGAUUCUUUUGGGCCUUGGAUUUUCCACUUAUGUGGAGCCUUAGCAUUGGCCGUGUGUAAGGAUAACUUUUAGUUCACAGGGUGUUGACUUUCCUAGACUCACAGCAGUUCUCCAGAACCCAUGAACUUCACCUGAAGGACUUCGACUCAGAGAUGGGGCCUGUGACAUCAGCUACUUCUCAUGUGACCAGAAAUUGAUGUUGGGGUACUGUGACUUUGGCAUUAGGUUGGACUUUGGGUUGUUUUCCUUGUUUACAACAUGUGCUUUUGUGCUUACUCAAGAAAUCUUUUGAAAUACUGUACAUGUGGAGACGUGUCCAGCUGUGUGUGUCCUGUCCGUGUAUUCUACAGGGUGAGCGCCGAGGUCUCAGGCUGAGUAGCCUUUCCAGUAGGAGCCUUUUCUCAGAGACCUUCCCUCACGCUCUGUUUACUGUGUGACUGAGUUCCCUGGCCAUACCAACUCGGUGUGAUACUUUUCUGCUAUCCUCAUUGCUGUGUCUUUACAAUGUGUUUGCUGCUUGUGUUUCUUGCAUUUUAAAGAACCCUUGUGUUCUCCCAAU
rnacentral:lncRNA from 1 species